UACGUAGGGGGCAAGCGUUGUCCGGAAUCAUUGGGCGUAAAGAGCGCGUAGGCGGUCCGGUAAGUCCGCUCUGAAAGUCCGGGGCUCAACCCCGGGAGGCGGGCGGAUACUGUCGGGCUAGAGUCCGGAAGAGGCGAGUGGAAUUCCUGGGUGUAGCGGUGAAAUGCGCAGAUAUCAGGAGGAACACCAAUGGCGAAGGCAGCUCGCUGGGACGGUACUGACGCUGAGGCGCGGAAAGCGUGGGGAGCAAACAGG
rnacentral:rRNA from 1 species